rnacentral:misc_RNA from 1 species
AACGCACCUUGCGCUCCUUGGUAUUCCGAGGAGCAUGCCUGUUUGAGUGUCAUGAAAUCUUCAACCUACAAGCUUUUUGUGGUUUGUAGGCUUGGACUUGGAGGCUUGUUGGCCUUUAUUGGUCGGCUCCUCUUAAAUGCAUUAGCUUGGUUCCUUGCGGAUCGGCUGUCGGUGUGAUAAAUAAUAUUAGUCUACUCCGCGACCGUGAAGCGUAUGGCGAGCUUCUAACCGUCUCGGUAUAGAGACAGCUUUUUAUGACCUCUGACCUCAAAUCAGGUAGGACUACCCGCUGAACUUAA